UUGCCUUUUAUGGAACUCUAGAAAGACUGCUGGUUAUAAACCGGAGGAAGGCGGGGAUGACGUCAAGUCAGCAUGCCCCUUACACCCUGGGCUACACACGUGCUACAUUGGGCGAGACAAUGAGACGCAAACCUGCGAAGGCUAGCUAAUCUAUAAACUCGUUCUAAGUUCGGAUUGUAGGCUGCAACUCGCCUGCAUGAAGGUGGAAUCGCUAGUAAUCGCUGGUCAGCAUACAGCGGUGAAUUCGUUCCCGGGCCUUGUACACACCGCCCGU
rnacentral:rRNA from 1 species